AACGAACGCUGGCGGCAUGCCUAACACAUGCAAGUCGAACGAGACCUUCGGGUCUAGUGGCGCACGGGUGCGUAACGCGUGGGAACCUGCCCUUAGGUUCGGAAUAACUCCCCGAAAGGGGUGCUAAUACCGGAUAAUGUCUUCGGACCAAAGAUUUAUCGCCUUUGGAUGAGCCCGCGUUGGAUUAGCUAGUUGGUAGGGUAAAAGCCUACCAAGGCGACGAUCCAUAGCUGGUCUGAGAGGAUGAUCAGCCACACUGGGACUGAGACACGGCCCAGACUCCUACGGGAGGCAGCAGUGGGGAAUAUUGGGCAAUGGGCGAAAGCCUGAUCCAGCAAUGCCGCGUGAGUGAUGAAGGCCUUAGGGUUGUAAAGCUCUUUUACCCGGGAUGAUAAUGACAGUACCGGGAGAAUAAGCUCCGGCUAACUCCGUG
rnacentral:rRNA from 1 species